rnacentral:tRNA from 1 species
GGGCGGGUAGCUCAGCGGCAGAGCACUGCACUCACAUUGCAGGGGUCACAGGUUCAAAUCCUGUUCCGCCCACAA